rnacentral:rRNA from 1 species
CCUACGGGUGGCAGCAGUGGGGAAUUUUGGACAAUGGGCGAAAGCCUGAUCCAGCAAUGCCGCGUGCAGGAUGAAGGCCCUCGGGUUGUAAACUGCUUUUGUACGGAACGAAAAGCCUGGGGCUAAUAUCCCCGGGUCAUGACGGUACCGUAAGAAUAAGCACCGGCUAACUACGUGCCAGCAGCCGCGGUAAUACGUAGGGUGCAAGCGUUAAUCGGAAUUACUGGGCGUAAAGCGUGCGCAGGCGGUUUUGUAAGACAGUGGUGAAAUCCCCGGGCUCAACCUGGGAACUGCCAUUGUGACUGCAAGGCUAGAGUGCGGCAGAGGGGGAUGGAAUUCCGCGUGUAGCAGUGAAAUGCGUAGAUAUGCGGAGGAACACCGAUGGCGAAGGCAAUCCCCUGGGCCUGCACUGACGCUCAUGCACGAAAGCGUGGGGAGCAAACAGGAUUAGAUACCCCGGUAGUC